rnacentral:rRNA from 1 species
CCUACGGGGAGCAGCAGUGAGGAAUAUUGGUCAAUGGGCUUACGCCUGAACCAGCCAAGUCGCGUGAGGGAAGACUGCCCUAUGGGUUGUAAACCUCUUUUGUCAGGGAGCAACGCCGGCUACGUGUAGCCGGACUGAGAGUACCUGAAGAAAAAGCAUCGGCUAACUCCGUGCCAGCAGCCGCGGUAAUACGGAGGAUGCGAGCGUUAUCCGGCUUUAUUGGGUUUAAAGGGUGCGUAGGCGGAAUGCCAAGUCAGCGGGAAAAUCGCGGGGCUCAACCUCGCUCCGCAGUUGAAACUGGCGUUCUUGAGUGGGCGAGAAGUAUGCGGAAUGCGUGGUGUAGCGGUGAAAUGCAUAGAUAUCACGAAGAACUCCGAUUGCGAAGGCAGCAUACCGGCGCCCAACUGACGCUGAAGCACGAAAGCGUGGGUAUCGAACAGGAUUAGAUACCCCAGUAGUC